rnacentral:rRNA from 1 species
AAUCAACGCUGGCGGCGUGCCUCAGACAUGCAAGUCGAACGCGAAAGUUCCCUUCGGGGGAGUGAGUAGAGUGGCGCACGGGUGAGUAACACGUAGGUAAUCUACCUUUGGUAUGGGGAAGUAACAACCGGAAACGGUUGCUAAUACCGCAUAAUGCAGCGGCACCUAAUGGUGACAGUUGUUAAAGCGGGGGAGUCGAAAGACCUCGCGUCUGAAGAGGAGCCUGCGGCGGAUUAGCUAGUUGGUAAGGUAACGGCUUACCAAGGCGACGAUCCGUAGCCGGCCUGAGAGGGCGGUCGGCCACACUGACACUGACAUACGGGUCAGACUCCUA